rnacentral:rRNA from 1 species
GACGAACGCUGGCGGCGUGCUUAACACAUGCAAGUCGAACGGAAAGGCCUCUUUCGGGGGGUACUCGAGUGGCGAACGGGUGAGUAACACGUGAGUAACCUGCCCUUGACUUUGGGAUAACUUCAGGAAACUGGGGCUAAUACCGGAUAGGAGCUCUUGCUGCAUGGUGGGGGUUGGAAAGUUUCGGCGGUUGGGGAUGGACUCGCGGCUUAUCAGCUUGUUGGUGGGGUAGUGGCUUACCAAGGCUUUGACGGGUAGCCGGCCUGAGAGGGUGACCGGCCACAUCGGGACUGAGAUACGGCCCAGACUCCUACGGGAGGCAGCAGUGGGGAAUAUUGCACAAUGGGUGGAAGCCUGAUGCAGCAACGCCGUGUGCGGGAUGACGGCCUUCGGGUUGUAAACCGCUUUCGCUCAUGACGAAGCUUUGUGUGACGGUAGUGGGUAAAGAAGCACCGGCUAACUACGUG